AGGGCUGUGGCUCAGUGGUGGAGCAUAUGUAUUGCAUGCAAAAGGACACAGGUUCAGUCCCUGGCACCCCAG